GGGGGAGGACAGAAAGGGCGAGGACAGCGGAGGGGCCGGGGCGGGGGCACGGAGCCUGAGCAGGCUCUAGGUCCCGCUGGGGGUGGGGGCCCCCACAUCAAGGCAGCACCACAAUCCACCCAGGCAUGGUGUGGAGAACAACGUAAAAUGACCCGGAUG